rnacentral:rRNA from 1 species
AAUCAACGCUGGCGGCGUGCCUCAGACAUGCAAGUCGAACGUGAAAGUUCCUUCGGGGAUGAGUAAAGUGGCGCACGGGUGAGUAACACGUGGGUAAUUUGCCUUCGGGUGGGGAAUACCAACCGGAAACGGUUGUUAAUACCGCAUGAUGCAGCGGCUCCGAUUGGAGACAGUUGUUAAAGCGGGGGAGCGGAGCAAUCCGUCCUCGCGCCUGAAGAGAAGCCCGCGGCGGAUUAGGAGUUGGUGAGGUAAUGGCUCACCAAGCCUGCGAUCCGUAACCGACCUGAAAGGGUGGUCGGUCACACUGACACUGACAUACGGGUCAGACUCCUACGGGAGGCAGCAGUCGGGAAUUUUGGGUCAAUGGGCGCAAGCCUCGACCCACGCAACCGCCGCGUGAAGGAUGAAG